rfam:Homo sapiens chromosome 6, GRCh38 reference primary assembly.
GCUGGGUGUGGUGGUGCAUGCCUGUAAUCCCAGCUACUGGGGAGGCUGAGGCAGGAGAAUCACUUGAACCUGGGAGAUUGGGGUUGCAGUGAGCUGCGAUCAUGCCACUGUCCUCCAGCCUGGGUGACAAGGCGAGACUCUGUCUCAA